rnacentral:rRNA from 1 species
CAGCAGCCGCGGGAAUACGUAGGUCCCGAGCGUUGUCCGGAUUUAUUGGGCGUAAAGGGAGCGCAGGCGGUCAGGAAAGUCUGGGGUAAAAGGCUAUGGCUCAACCAUAGUGUGCUCUGGAAACUGUCUGACUUGAGUGCAGAAGGGGAGAGUGGAAUUCCAUGUGUAGCGGUGAAAUGCGUAGAUAUAUGGAGGAACACCAGUGGCGAAAGCGGCUCUCUGGUCUGUCACUGACGCUGAGGCUCGAAAGCGUGGGUAGCGAACAGGAUUAGAUACCCCAGUAGUCCCUGUCUCUUAUACA